rnacentral:tRNA from 1 species
GCCGAGGUGGUGAAAUUGGUAGACACGCAGCGUUCAGGGCGCUGUAUCCUUUGGGAUGUGGAGGUUCAAAUCCUCUCCUCGGCACCA